rnacentral:rRNA from 1 species
AUGGGGUCGCAAGAUCCCUUUUGUAUGGUGACUCUGGAUAACUUUGUGCUGAUCGCAUGGCCUAGAGCCGGCGACGUAUCUUUCAAGUGUCUGCCCUAUCAACUUCCGAUGGUAAGCGAUUUGCCUACCAUGGUUGUAACGGGUAACGGGGAAUCAGGGUUCGAUUCCGGAGAGGGAGCAUGAGAAACGGCUACCACAUCUACGGAAGGCAGCAGGCGCGCAAAUUACCACUCCUAGAACGGGGAGGUAGUGACGAAAAAUAACAAUACCGGACUCAAUGAGGCUCGGUAAUUGAAAUGAGUACAGUUUAAAACCCUUAACGAGGAUCUAUUGGAGGGCAAGUCUGGUGCCAGCAGCCGCGGUAAUUCCAGCUCCAAUAGCGUAUAUUAAAGUUGUUGCAGUUAAAAAGCUCGUAGUUGGAUCUCGGGUACUAGCAUGUGGUACGCUUUUUUGCUGUUACUACAUGUCUGGUCCUAAUCAACCGGUUGGCCGUUGAUGUCCUUUAUUGGGUGUUUUCGGUAGCCGGUACGUUUACUUUGAGAAAAUUAGAGUGCUUAAAGCAGGCCUUAAGCCUGAAUAAUGUUGCAUGGAAUAAUAGAAUAGGACCUCGGUUCUAUUUUGUUGGUUUUGUAGAGCAUUGAGGUAAUGAUUAAUAGGGACAGACGGGGGCAUUCGUAUUGCGGUGUUAGAGGUGAAAUUCUUGGAUCGCCGCAAGACGAACAACUGCGAAAGCAUUUGCCAAGAAUGUUUUCAUAAAUCAAGAACGAAAGUUGGAGGUUCGAAGACGAUUAGAUACCGUCCUAGUUCCAACCAUAAACGAUGCCAACUAGCGAUUAGCUGCUGUUAUUUUUACGACACAGCUAGCAGCUUCCGGGAAACCAAAGUUUUUGGGUUCCGGGGGAAGUAUGGUUGCAAAGCUGAAACUUAAAGGAAUUGACGGAAGGGCACCACCAGGAGUGGAGCCUGCGGCUUAAUUUGACCCAACACGGGAAAUCUCACCCGGCCCGGACACUGUAAGGAUUGACAGAUUGAGAGCUCUUUCUUGAUUCGGUGGGUGGUGGUGCAUGGCCGUUCUUAGUUGGUGGAGCGAUUUGUCUGGUUAAUUCCGAUAACGAACGAGACUCUAGCCUGCUAAAUAGUACGUCGAUCUUUAGUCGGCGCGUACUUCUUAGAGGGACAAGUAGCGGUAAGCUACACGAAAUUGAGCAAUAACAG